rnacentral:rRNA from 1 species
GCAGAGCACUCCUAUGGGAGGCAGCAGUGGGGAAUAUUGCACAAUGGGCGCAAGCCUGAUGCAGCCAUGCCGCGUGUAUGAAGAAGGCCUUCGGGUUGUAAAGUACUUUCAGCAGUGAGGAAGGUGGAUAUGUUAAUAGCAUAUUCAUUUGACGUUAGCUGCAGAAGAAGCACCGGCUAACUCCGUGCCAGCAGCCGCGGUAAUACGGAGGGUGCGAGCGUUAAUCGGAAUUACUGGGCGUAAAGCGCAUGCAGGUGGUUUGUUAAGUCAGAUGUGAAAGCCCGGGGCUCAACCUCGGAAUUGCAUUUGAAACUGGCAAACUAGAGUACUGUAGAGGGGGUAGAAUUUCAGGUGUAGCGGUGAAAUGCGUAGAGAUCUGAAGGAAUACCGGUGGCGAAGGCGGCCCCCUGGACAGAUACUGACACUCAGAUGCGAAAGCGUGGGGAGCAAACAGGAUUAGAUACCCUGGUAG